GCAACAUCACUUGUCUUGUCCGGCAAAAGAAAAGGAAAGAAUAAAGAAAAAGAAAAAGGUCACGGGCUUCAGGCUUCAGCCCAACCCAACAUACGGUGGCAGCGGCCAGCGGGCAGCGGCUGGUGGCGAGAUGCGGUCGCUGGCGCUAGCAGGUCGGGCCGUGGCCUCUUCGCCACCCACUCGUGCCUGCUCCGGCGACUAGAGAAGCGGCGCUACGUACAAGCGUGGUCUGUCUGAAGCGCGCGGGGAAGGCAGUGAAUGUCUGUUCGUCGAGCCAUGACGACGGCGAGCGCGCGAGAAGACAGGGAGAGGGAGAGGGACAGAGAAAGCGCCAACACCCCCAUGCAUUCGGAUCUCUUCUCCCAUGACUGACGUCGCCGCCACACCCCACAACCAACCGUCACCACAGAACGACUGGAAUUUGGGAGCUGUGUGUGAUUAAGCAAAACAAGGUUACUGGACAAAUAUGCGUAACUCAACAUUGGAAAAAUAGAAGCGCGCACACACAGAAAUAGUAGAGAUCGAGAGAGAGAGAGACGAUGGCAGGGCAACUCGACGCUUACACGAACAGUGCUCAAAUGAAACAAAAGCAGUACGUGUACGCGCGUACUCAAAUUACACACAACGACGACCCACAGAGAUAGAGAUGGAUGGGCAUGAAUGAUUAUGCGCCGGUGAGCUCCUCCUCCUUGUGCGUCUCGAUGACGACGUCAGAGGUGGGGUAGGCGUGGCAGGUGAGCACCCAGCCGGCGGCGAUCUGGCCGUCGUCGAGGUAGCUCUGGUCGGACUGGUCCACGGAGCCGGAGACGACCUUGCCGGCGCAGGAGGAGCAGGACCCCGCGCGGCAGGAGUAGGGCAGGUCGAUGCCGUCCUCCUCGGCCUGGUCCAGGAUGUACACGUCGUCGGGCACCUGCAGCUCCACCUCCCCCUCCGGCGUGAUCAGCUUCACGUUGUAGGUGGCCUGCGCGCGCAGCCUGCCCCUGCUGCUGGCGCUACGGCCCAUGAUGCCCACCUUGGCCGCAGGCAGCGCCACGGCGGUGGGCGCCGGCGCGGCACGGAGGGAGGACGGCGAGAAGAAGAAGGCCGGCGCGCGGGGGCUGCCUAGGACGGUGGCCAUUGUUGUCGAGGGGUCGGGGUACGGUGGUGUGGCGGCCGGUGCAGUUAGGGAGCUCUAGAUGGAGAGAGUGGGGCUGGGGAGAGCGGCUGCUGGAUAGAUGGCCAAUAGAUAGCUUCUCCUGCCCUCCCCUGCCCUGCCCCAGAUGACAAUACCAAUGCAAGGGAUGGAUAGGCUUAUCUUCUUGCAUUGCCGCCCCAAUUUUGGCCACCCGUUUUUAUCGCCCUUCAAACUCACGGGAAUUUUGCAUGCUGCGGAAAUUCAAAUUCACAUUAUUCAUGUGUAAUGUCGAUAUUCGCAUAUAAAAUAAUUCAUGGUAACUGAUUAUUGUGCGCGUGUGUAGGCCACGAGUCCCUUCAGGUCGUGGGACACGUGGGGUCAUGUGGCGCACGAACGAACUUUAUAGUUCGGUGUAACUUAUCAUUGUUUCUUUAGUUUUUUUUACUUAAAUUUAGUUCCGGCGGUUCCUGUUGAAUUUUUGAGGAGUUCCUCCCUUUUCGAGAAAGAGCCCAUAAAAAACCUCCCUUUUGGUAGUUUUUUCAAGGAGUUGUUGAAUGAGCCCUACCAGAGGAGGCCUUAGUCGCAUAAUCUUGGACAAGUUGUGAUAGAGUUAGAUGAGAACCAAAUAGAUCCACAGUCUCCUCAUUGCGACGGGGAGGCAGAGACAGGUGGUCCGAGGAACAAGUGUCAUCGACGUCGAAGUGGGCGACAAGCACUGGUGGUGGUGUAGUCGUGUAGAAGGGCGACAAUGGUGGAGUAGGGCAUUAGCAUUGAGAAGAGAUAAGGUUUUUAGUGUCAAUGAUGGCAUGUGAGGCCCACAUGUUUGAUUUUAAACAUUGUUUUUUUACUGUCAAUGGGGGAGAGAAGUUCUUCCCCAUCUAAGAUUUAUAUAUAUUACUUCUGUCUGAGAGAAACACAUGAGAUUACAUUAGUACGUGAAGUUCAUCAAAGUAUCCGAAGGGACCAGCCAGUGGAUAACAUUCUUGGUAGCAUAAGGACACGGGUAACAACUCGAUCUCGCUUAACAAUUUUUUGUGAAUCUUACUUGUUUGUUUCCUCUCUUGAGCCACUUAGGGUAGAAGAAGCACUGGGUGAUCUAGAGUGGAUAGUAGCAAUGCAAGAGUAAUUCAAUAACUUCACCCGGAAUGAAGUUUAGCCCUUUGUGGAAAGACCCAAGCAAAAUGUCAUUGGAACUAAGUGUGUUUUCCGCAACAUGCAAGAUGAACAUGGCUUGGUCACAAGAAACAAGGCGUGGUUGGUUGCUCAAGGCUUCACUCAAGUAGAAGGGCUUGAUUUUGGAGAGACAUAUGCACCAGUGGCAAUGUUAGAGUCAAUUAAAAUUUUGAUUGCUUAUGCAACUAACCAUGAUUUCAAGCUAUAUUAAAUGGACGACAAGAGUGCAUUUCUAAAUGGACCACUACAAGAGUUGGUCUAUGUGAAGCAACCAUCGGACUUUGAAGAUCAAAUAAGCCUAACCAUGUAUUUCUCCUCCAUAAGGUGCUCUAUGGGCUUAAGCAAUCUCCUAGAGCAUAGUAUAAAUGCCUUAAGGAGUUAUUGAUUAAAAAUGGCUUUCAAAUAGGCAAAGCCGACUCUACUCUAUUUACUCGCAAGUUUGAUAAUGAACUAUUUGUGUGCCAAAUAUAUGUCGAUAACAUUAUACUUGGCAGUACUAAUGAUGAGUUUUGUGGGGAAUUUAGCAGGGUAAUGAUGAAUAUGUUUGAGAUGUCUAUGAUGGGUGAGUUAAAGUUCUUCUGAGGAUUCCAAGUAAAACAAUUAAAGAAAGAGACUUUUCUAUGCCAAACCAAGUAUAUUUGGUUCAUACACCUAACCUAGGCCUUUGGUAUCCUAAAGACUCCACUUUCAAUUUGCUUCGCUACUCUGACUCAGAUUACAUCAGUUGUAAAGUAGAUAAAAAGUACCAUCGAGACUUGCCAAUUCGUUGGGCGGUCCUUAGUGUCGUGGAGUUCCAAGAAACAAAAUUGUGUUGCACUUUCCACUGCCGAGGCUGAGUAUAUAGCAGCUGAUGUUUGUUGCGCCCAAUUUUUAUGGAUGAAGCAAACCUUGAGGGAUUUUGGUUGUGAGUUUAGCAAAAUUCCGCUACUUUGUGUUAAUGAGAGUGCCAUAAAACUUUCAAACAAUCACGUGCAACACUUUAGAACUAAACACAUUGACAUUAGACAUCACUUCUUAAGAUACCAUGAGGACAAAGGAGAUAUCAAAAUAUGGCAUGUGAGUGCUGAGAACCAACUAGCCGAUAUCUUCAUCAUACCCCUAAAUGAGACUAGGUUUGUUUUCUCAGAAGUGAACUAAAUAUCUUGGACUCUCGUAACAUGUCUUGGAAAGUGUGUGCUUAAAAUUUGGAUGUUUCAUGUGCUGUAAAACUUUUUAAAAUGACUAAUUUCUAUAUAUUUAUACAAAUUUUUUUGUUAAGUUAGGCAAAAUAGAUGCCAUAAUGAAGAUCGCCAAAGGGUUUCUCUGAUAAUUUUCGGUUGAUAGAGUGAGUUGAAUAGGCCAUUCAACCAAAUUCUUCUCUGGUCAGACUUGGUUCAACCGGGGAAAAACUCGGUUCAACCGACUUUUGACCUGCUUUGCCAGUCAACCCUGCCAUCUGUCAGUUUGGCCUCGCAGACUGCUCUUCUAGAAAGUCGGUUCAACCGAGAUUAAACCCAAUUCAACUUAGUUUGCGCAGAGAGUCGACCGGGUUUAUUUCUUUUUUUCUCUUCUCUCUCUCUUCUCAUUCCUUAGUCGAGUUAUUUGAAAAGGAGACGCCGCCCCUUCUCUAUCCCCCUCUCAAACCCUCCCCUCAACCAAAAUAUUGAGCCAAAUCCAUUGAAACUUGGAGGACUUCAUCAUGUUGAGGUCCUCCACCUAUUCCCUCCAUUGAUUUGAAGUUUCGCGAGUGGAAUCGAUAGAUCGAGGUAAAGCUCUCUUCUCUAUCUUUUGCCCUGAUCUUUGGUUAUAGCUAAGGUCUUGUGAAUCCCUUUGAGUAAAAGGAUCUUGUGGAUGUAAGAAACAUAUUGCUCUAAGGGAUUUCUCUAAUUUAUUGACGUACUCGACGAAAAAGGGUAAUGAAUCGUUCAUGUGAGGUUGACCCGAAUAGUUGAACGGCAUAUAUUCCGUUCACUCUCUCUUCCUAUCAUUUGUUGAAUCACCAUUUGGUUAUUCUUUUUAUCUUAUACCUGUGUUUUUAGUUCAAGAAUGAAGAACUAGCCGGCGAUAAAUAUUUAAAAAAUAUUUGAAAACAGAGGUAAUAGUUUACAAUACAGUUUGAAACGGACAAAAAAAUUACAUGCACAGCCAGUAUUGAGACAUCUUCUACUCUCCUGUGCUUGCAAGUCGACGUGAUAAUUGGCGGUGCUUUAUUAAUUUGCUUAGGAGAUAAGGUCAUCCUCCUUGUGCGUCUCGAUGACGACGUCGGAGGUGGGGUACGCCACGCAGGUGAGCACCCAGCCGGCGGCGAUCUGGCCGUCGUCGAGGUAGCUCUGGUCGGACUGGUCCACGGAGCCGGAGACGACCUUGCCGGCGCAGGAGGAGCAGGACCCCGCGCGGCAGGAGUAGGGCAGGUCGAUGCCUUCCUCCUCGGCGUAGUCCAGGAUGUAGACGUCGUCGGGCACCUGCAGCUCCACCUCCCCCUCCGGCGUGAUGAGCUUCACGUUGUAGGUGGCCUGCGCGCGCAGCCUGCUGCUGGCGCCACCGCCACGGGUCAUGGCCACGGUAGUGGGCGCUGGCGCGGCGCGGAGGGAGAAGGAGAAGGCCGGCGCGCGGGGGCUGCUCAGGACGGUGGCCAUUUGUUUGCUAGCUGCGGGUAAUGGCUGGAGUGAGCGGCUGCUAGUGCUGGUCUGGUGGACAGAUAGCUUCCCUGCCCCAGAUAUGCGAAUGAGAUGAUGGAUGGAGUGAGUGCAGCCAGCGUGUAGGCUCUUAUCUUCUUGGCGCCAGAAUUUAUUUCGUCCACCCAUUCAAAAGACGCCGUUCGGCUGGCUUGCUUACAGUGGAUGCCCACAUAGCAUUCCAAUUUAUUUUGGAAAUCGGACUCCGACGCUCGCUAUAUGGUUGGAUCUUUGUUGCGACGGGACUUUUCUUUGAAUAUACUGUACCUGUUAUUUUUUAUUUGUCGUGGUUUAGUGCAAAAAUAAAUUAGUCAUCAACAAAUAUUUGAGAAUAAAGAUAGUAGAUAAUAAUAAAUACGUAAAAAGUUAGUUCGUCUGGUGAAUGAAAGAGCAACUCUGAUUCAAGCCCUAAACACAAACAAAUUAAAAUAUAGGGCUUGUUCAACAAAAAAUAUCUCCAACAAGAGCCCUAUUUCAAUAAAAUCCAUCCAAACAUGUUAGGGCCCAACCUCGUGAGUACUAUAUUUGUGUCGGCGUUUCGAGACCGGGAGUCCCUAAGCCGACGAGUGAAUGUCGCCGCGUGCCCCAGCACAGAUGGGUCGACGCGAGGCCGAGCGCGAAGGGGGGAAAGUGAGGCGACCGGAGACCGGCGUGAGAGAGGUGGGAAUCCCGCGGCCUUCGUGUUCGUCCCGCGCCCAGGUCGGGUGCGCUUGCAGUAGGGGGUUACAAGCGUCCACGCGGGAGAGGGAGCGAGCGGCCUCACGCGAGCGCCUGUCUCGUCCUCGUCCCCGCGCGGCCAACCCUCUCUAAGAGGGCACUGGUCCUUCCUUUUAUAGGCGUAAGGAGAGGAUCCAGGUGUACAAUGGGGGGUGCAUCAGAGUGCUACGUGUCUAGCGGAGGAGAGCUAGCGCCCUAAGUACAUGCCGUUGUGGCAGCCGGAGAGAUUUUGGCACCCAGCUGGUGUGAUGUCGUGGCCGUCGGAGGAGCGAUGGAGCCUGGCGGAGGGACAACUGUCGGAGCUGUUGAGUCCUUGCUGACGUCCUCUUGCUUCCGUAAGGGGGCUGAGAGCCGCCGUCGUCACGGAGUAUGCGGGGCGCCAUCAUUGCCUAUCUGGCAGAGCGAGCCAGAUGGGACACCGGUCUUGUCCCCCGUGGCCCGAGUCAGCUCGGGGUAGGGCGAUGAUGGCGCCUCCUGUCAACGUGGCUGGUCUGCGCCCUAGGUUGGGCGAUGUGGAAGCUCCUCCGAAGCCGAGGUCGAGUCUGUCUUCCGUGGCCGAGGUCGAGUCCGAGCCCCUGGGUCGGGCGAGGCGGAGACCGUCGGCUAAGGCUAGGGCGUAGUCCGAGCCCUGGGGUCGGGCGAAGCGGAGUUCGUCGUCUUCUGGGGAUGAGCCCGAGUCCGAGCCCUGGGUCGGGCGGAGCGGAGUUCGCCGUCUUCCGGGACUUAGCCCGUGUCCGAGCCCUGGGUCGGGCGGAGCGGAGUUCGCCGUCUUCCGGGACUUAGCCCGAGUCCGAGCCCUGGGUCGGGCGGAGCGGAGUUCGCCGUCUUCCGGGACUUAGCCCGAGUCCGAGCCCUGGGUCGGGCGAAGCGGAGCUUCCUAUGGUGCCUUCGGCCGGGCCUGACUGCCUGUCAGCCUCACUCUGUCAAGUGGCACCGCAGUCGGAGCGGCGCAGGCGGCGCUGUCCUUCCGUCAGGCCGGUCAGUGGAGCGGCGAAGUGACGGCGGUCACUUCGGCUCUGUCAGCUGGGGGCGCGCGUCAGGAUAAAGGUGUCAGGCCACCUUUGUAUUAAAUGCUCCUGCGAUUUGGUCGGUCGGUGCGGCGAUUUGGUCAGGGUUGCUUCUUGGCGAAGACAUGGCCUCGGGCGAGCCGGAAAUAUAUUCGCCGCUGGAGGGGGGCCUCGGGCGAGACAGAAAUCCUCCGGGGUCGGCUGCCCUUGUCCGAGGCUAGGCUCGGGCGAGGAGUGAUCGAGUCCCUCGAACGGACUAAUCCCUGACUUAAUCGCACCCAUCAGGCCUUUGCAGCUUUAUGCUGAUGGGGGUUACCAGCUGAGAAUUAGGAGCCUUGAGGGUACCCCUAAUUAUGGUCCCCGACAGUAGCCCCCGAGCCUCGAAGGGAGUGUUAGCACUCGCUUGGAGGCUUUUCAUCGCACUUUUUUGCAAGGGGACCAACCUUUCUCGGUUGCGUUUUGUUCCGGUGGGUGCGCGCGAGCGCACCCGCCGGGUGUAGCCCCCGAGGCCUCGGAGGAGUGGUUUCACUCCUCCGAUGUCUUAUUGCCUCGCGUAGUGCUUCGGCUGGUCUGGUCAUUCCCUCAUGCGAGCUGGCCGUAGCCCGGGUGUACGGUCGGGUCCCAAGUUCUCGGGCUGGUAUGUUGACGCUGUCAACGGUUCGGCCGGAGCCAGGUUUGCGAGAGCAGCCCCCGAGCCUCUGCACAGGGCGAGAGGGCGAUCAGGGACAGACUCGACUUUUUUACAUACGCCCCUGCGUCGCCUUUCCGCAAGGAGGAGGGGGGGAAAGCGCCAUGUUGCCCUCAAUGGGCGCCGAACAUGGUGUUUCCGGUGAGCUGCAGGCGGGUAAUCCGAGUGGACGUCCGUGCCCCAUUCGUUAGGGGUCGGCUAGGGGCCCGGAGGCACGCCCAAAAGUACCUGCGGGUGAUCUGCCGGACCCGGUCCCCUGGCGACGGGGUCCGAGGGCUCGAUGCCUCCCUCUGAUGGGAUUCCGUUACAAGAUCGUUCCCGCUGGUCUCGGAAAUGUCCUAGGGUACCUCGGGAGUGCAGCCCGAGCCUUGGUUAUGUAUCGAACGUACCCAUGGUCAUCCCUCGCUCUGUGUCUGAGGCGACUGUGAACCCUUCGGGGGCCAGCCUUCGAACCCCUGAUCAGUAGUGGGCGCGGAGCCCGAGUAGCCUGAGGCGGUCGUUGAACCCUUCCGAGGGGCCGGCCUUCGAACCUCUGACCAGUAGUGGGUGUAGGGCCCACGUGAUCUGAGGCGGCUGUCGAACCCUUCCGAGGGGCCAGCCUUCGAACCUCUGAUCAGUAGGGAGGCUCGGAGCCUGGUUCCUUCACGGGGAAGGAUCCUUUUCGGGAUAUCCCCCUUUCCCGGUCCCUGUUGCAAGAGAGAGAAAGAGGAAAAAGGAAAAGGAUACGAAAUCGAACGACGCGGUGUACCUUUUUUGUCGCGGUCAUUAUGGCAAAGGCGAAGCGUCGUUCGCUUCUCCUGCCAGAGGCGCCGCCUGUCCCGCCGCGGAGUUAAUGCUACGGGGCGAGUGGUUCGCGGGGCGGCCGUUGCGCGUGCGCGAGCCGUUCGAGGAACGGAACACGGGCGCGUUGUCUUCACGCCGUGAGAGAGGGUUCUCUCGUUGCCGCCGGUUGGGACGUGAGCUUGGCUGACGACGCGGCCGCUGCUCCUGCCCGCCUGCCACCGCCAUUACUGCCGGCCCAUUUUCGGCCGCAUUGACCAUCGCGCCAGGCUGGCGCUGCUGGGUCGUGCGCUGGGUCGCCUCGAGUCGCGGUAUUGGUUCCGCAGUCGAGGAGGCGCGGUGGUGGCACAAGUGGCGGUGCAGUUGCAUGCACGAAGCACUCGGCGCGCCGGUUGCAUGACGCGUGGGCCUGGGUCUCCAUGCCGGGCGUGUUGGCAGUCGGAGAAGUGCGCCCACUUGGCGCGGUUGCAUGCCGCCUGCAUGGCUGCCCGCCCUCUCGCCCGCUGGUCUGGGCAAAAGUGGAAAGUCGCUUGUAACCGCUGGGCGGUUGUACGCACCGCGCACGACGAUUUGGCUUCUUCUGCUUUGAGCCGGCUUGCAUGACGUAUGGGACCCAGCCUCCGCGCCAUAGGAGGAGGGCCUUGGAGCGUGUUGGAGAAGACUCAGCCCGCGACGGUUGGGGACACAAGUAAGGAGAGUCGCCUUUAAAAGGAGGGUGACCCCCUUAGAAGGCGACCAUGUCUUCGCGCUUCCUUACGCAUCGCGUCUUUCCACCUUCCAAGCCCCCAGAUGGGGGAUACCCGCCGUCUUUCCGCCUUGUCGUCGGGGGAACGCAACUCCGCGGGAGUUGGUACCUUUCGGCCAUCAUUCGGCUUCAAGGAUUUUCAUCAUGCAGCCCGGCUGCACCCCUCCGCCGGCGGUCACCCAAGACGGUGACCUCCAGUUUGAUGGUGGGGGAAAGCGAGUCGGGCUGCAGCCUCUGCCCCUCCCUCAGCCUCAAGGAUUUUCAUCACCAGGGCUGGGGAGGGGAGUGUGUCGAGUUGGGGCUGGCCCAUGCGUGGGCGGCGGCCCGCUCCUUCCCUCAGUGAUCGGGGGGAAGGGCGGUUGUUGUCUGUGGCACCAGCAGCUGCCGCGUGCCUGGCUCUCGGACGCGAGUGGCUUCGGAGCCGCUCCUGGCGCCGGCGUCUGCCACGGCAGCUGGAAGAGGUUCUUCCGCCGACGAGAUAGCCAGGGCCGCCCACGGAUCGACCUCCAACUCUACGGCCUUCUGCCCGUCCUUGCCUCACGAGUUUGGGCAUAGGCGGGGGCCUCCUGGCAGCAGCAUCCGCCCUGAGGUCAUCGCUGCCGCUGUUUGGCCCCCUGGAGCAGAAGUCGUCGUCGUCGCCGCUGCUGGAGCGGGCGACGGCGCGCCGUUCGUCGGUCUUCUGUUGCUCCGCAGGCCCCCCCCCCAUCGAGUGGGGUUGUUCAUACCUGCGGAGGUGGAACCGGAGUUCCGUUUGUAAUGGCACUUUGAAUGCCAGUGUUUUUGUUCAUUGUGGCUGUCGAGGCCUGAACAUGUAUGUAAUUUUGGCACGGAGCCGUGUUUUUUCCUCAUUUUCGAGCACUAAGACUCGCCUGUUGGUUGUCUGAACCGCUUCACCAAGCGUGAGUCGCCCCGUGCAAAGGUGACGAGUGAGGUAUCCGUAUCCCGGAGGCGUAGGAGUCCCUCGGCUCGGUCGGCCUUGUUGCCCGAGGCUUCUCUUGCUCAGUUAAAGGAACCCAUCGGCCGCUCUUCGAUGAGCCGAGGCCAGGGGUAGCGGUGUCAGCGCGAACAGAGGCAGAGUUGGCUUUGAAAAGAAGACCUGGUCGGCCGGAGCCUGGCCGGGUCGUCUGUUAGCGGGACCGACGCUGGAAUUGACCAGCCGAGGCCUCGGGUCGGGCUGACGUCCUUGGAGGACAGCUGGCCGAGGCCCCGGGGUGACCGGCCGAGCCGCCUGCUCGGGCCGGAUUCCCGGAGAAGACCCUGGCAGCGAUGGCCUGGGCUUGGUGAUGACGCCGUCCUUCAGAGUGGAGAUCUUCGGACCGCGUCGCCGUCCGAGGCUAGGUCGGACCUCGCCGAAGGUGUUGUCGACGCCGAGGGUGCUACUGCUCCCUUCAAGCGUCAGGAUCCGAGCCUGCGGGAUCGGAUUGUCUUGUAGCGUGUGUUUCCUGCGGCCGCCGAGGCCAAAACACACCCUCACCGUGUUGUAAAGCUGCGUCUCUUUUCCUCUUGUUUCGAGUACCUGGACUUUUUUGUCGGUGACAGAAAUGUUUGUGCGAGCGAGAGUUGCUUCUCGCGGAAGGUGAUGAGUGAGGUAUCCGUAUCCCGGAGGCGUAGGAGUCCCUCGGCUCGGUCGGCCUUGCCGCUUACGCGCACUCUUACCCGUCCAUGGGGCUCUGUCACCGACGCAGUCGAGAAGGCUCGAAGAAUCGCUUCAGCAGAAGAGCUUUCGAAUGUGAAGACUUGUUCGGUCCGCGGAAUCACUUAUCCGAACAUGAGUUACUUAUCGCAGAAGGUGAUGAGUGAGGUAUCCAUAUCCCGGAGGCGUAGGAGUCCCUCGGCUCGGUCAGCCUUGGCUGCUUACGUGUACUCCGUCGUUUUCAGGAUCCACUUUCGAAGUAGUCAAAAAGCACGAAAGACAUUCUGGCAGAAAAGAUCUUUUUUCGAGGAAAAUUUCGACGCAGAGGGGGUUCCCCCCUUUUAGCCCUCGAGGGAGGGUCGGGCUUUGCCGAGGCGAGGCCGACCCUUCCUUGAUGACUAAACUUUGCGUGAGAGCGAGGUAUAUGAACAACUUGAAAACAUCUUAAGGGUAGAAGCGACGUAGCUGUUGGAUGUUCCAAGCGUUGCUGUAGACCUCGCCUUGACUGUUGGCCAGCUUGUAUGUUCCGGGCUUCAGAACUUUGGCGAUGACGAACGUCCCCUCCCAGGGGGGCGUGAGCUUGUGCCGCCCUCGGGCGUCUUGUCGUAGCCGAAGCACCAGGUCGCCCACCUGGAGGUCUCGGGACCGGACCCCUCGGGCGUGGUAGCGUCGCAGGGACUGCUGGUACCGCGCCGAGUGUAGUAAGGCCCUAUCCCGAGCCUCUUCCAGCUGGUCCAGCGAGUCUUCUCGACUAGCUUGGUUGCUUUGGUCGGUGUAGGCCCUUGUCCUCGGGGAGCCGUACUCCAGGUCUGUGGGCAAGACGGCCUCGGCCCCGUAGACUAGGAAGAACGGCGUGAAGCCCGUGGCUCGGCUCGGCGUUGUCCUCAGACUCCAGACCACCGAGGGGAGUUCCUUCAUCCAUCGCUUGCCGAACUUGUUGAGGUCGUUGUAGAUCCGAGGCUUGAGCCCUUGUAGAAUCAUGCCGUUGGCACGCUCUACUUGCCCAUUUGACAUGGGGUGAGCCACGGCGGCCCAGUCCACCCGGAUGUGGUGAUCCUCGCAGAAGUCCAGGAACUUUCUGCUGGUGAACUGGGUGUCGUUGUUGGUGAUGAUGGAGUUCGGGACCCCGAAGCGAUGGAUGAUGUUGGUGAAGAAUGCCACCGCCUGCUCGGACCUGAUGCUGUUUAGGGGUCAGACCUCGAUCCACUUGGAGAAUUUGUCGAUGGCGACCAACAGGUGCGUGUAGCCCCCGGGUGCCUUCUGCAAGGGGCCGACGAGGUCCAGACCCCAUACAGCAAAAGGCCAGGUGAUGGGUAUCGUCUGCAGAGCCUGAGCGGGCAGGUGGGUCUGCCUUGCGUAGAACUGACACCCUUCGCAGGUGCGGACAAUUCUAGUGGUGUCGGCCACCGCAGUCGGCCAGUAGAAGCCUUGUCGGAAAGCAUUCCCGACGAGGGCUCGAGGUGCUGCGUGAUGGCCGCAAGCCCCCGAGUGUAUCUCUCGAAGGAGUUCCUGACCUUCGGUGAUGGAGAUGCAUCGCUGGAGGAUGCCUGAGGGGCUGCGGUGGUAGAGCUCCUUCCCAUCUCCCAGCAAGACGAACGACUUGGCACGCCGCGCCAACCGCCGAGCUUCGGCUCGGUCGAGGGGUAGCUCUCCUCGGUGGAGAUAUUGCAGGUACGGGGUCUGCCAGUUUUGAUCAGGCGUGACCCCGCUUUGCUCCCCCUCGACGCGCAGUGUCUCGCCCUCAAGGGCCGAGGGUACCUCGGGCCGAACCGAGGGUGCCUCGGGCUAUGCCGAGGGUGCCUCGGGCUAUGCCGAGGGUACCUCGGGCUGGGCCGAGGGUGCCUCAGGCUCGGGCGUAUCGUCGAUCUUGACGGAGGGUUGAUGCAGAUCCCGGGAGAAGACGUCCGGGGAACCGAUGUUCGCCCCGAGGCUAUUUUAGCCAGCUCAUCUGCAGUCUCGUUGUAGCGCCGGGCGAUGUGGUUGAGCUCGAGCCCGUAGAACUUGCCUUUCAGGCACCGAACCUCAUCGCAGUAGGCCUCCAUCUUCGGGUCGCGGCAGUGGGAGUUCUUCAUGACUUGGUCGAUGACGAGCUGUGAGUCACCGCGAGCGUCGAGGCGUCGAACCCCUAGCUCGAUGGCGAUCCACAACCCGUUGACCAGAGCCUCAUACUCGGCCACAUUGUUGGACGCCGGGAAAUGGAGGCGUAGCACAUAGCGUAGGUGCUUCCUGAGGGGCGAGAUGAAGAGUAGGCCUGCACCGGCUCCUGUCUUCAUCAGCGACCCGUCGAAGAACAUGGUCCAGAGCUCCGGCUGGAUCGGAGCUGUUGGGAGCUGAGUGUCAACCCAUUCAGCUAUGAAGUCCGCCAAGACCUGGGACUUGAUGGCCUUCCGAGGGGCGAACGAGAUUGUCUCGCCCAUGAUUUCCACCGCCCACUUUGCAAUCCUCCCUGAGGCCUCCCGGCACUGGAUGAUCUCCCCCAGGGGGAAGGAUGACACCACAGUUACCGGAUGAGACUCGAAGUAGUGUCGCAGCUUCCGCCGCGUUAGGAUCACCGCGUACAGCAGCUUCUGAACUUGUGGGUAGCGGAUCUUGGUUUCGGACAGUACCUCGCUGACUAAGUAGACUGGCCUCUGAACGGGCAAUGCAUGCCCCUCUUCUUGCCUCUCGACCACAAUCGCGGCGCUAACCACCUGAGUGGUCGCGGCGACGUAGACCAAGAGGGCUUCUCCGGCAGCUGGGGGCACCAAGAUAGGCGCCUUUGUGAGGAGCGCCUUCAGGUUCCCGAGGGCUUCCUCGGCCUCAGGGGUCCAAGUGAAGCACUCGGCCUUCCUUAAGAGGCGGUACAGAGGGAGACCUCUUUCGCCGAGGCGUGAGAUGAAGCGGCUCAGAGCCACGAGACAUCCCAUGACCCUCUGUACGCCUUUCAAGUCCUUGAUGGGCCCCAUGCUGGUGAUGGCUGCGAUCUUCUCCGGGUUGGCUUCGAUGCUUCGCUCGGAGACGAUGAACCCCAAGAGCAUGCCUCGGGGCACCCCGAAGACACACUUCUCGGGAUUGAGCUUGACGCCUUUCGCCUUGAGACAUCGGAAUGUCACUUCAAGGUCGGAAAGGAGGUCGAAGGCUUUCCUCAUCUUGACUACGAUGUCAUCGACGUAGGCCUCGACCGUGCGGCCAAUGUGUCCGCCGAACACAUGGUUCAUGCACCGCUGGUACGUCACGCCCACAUUCCUCAAGCCGAACGGCAUGGUGACAUAGCAGUACAUACCGAAGGGUGUGGUGAAAGAAGUCGCGAGCUGGUCGGACUCUUUCAUCCAGAUUUGAUGAUACCCUGAGUGGGCAUCGAGGAAAGACAGGGUUUCGCACCUAGCAGUGGAAUCCACGAUUUGAUCGAUGCGAGGCAGAGGGUAGGGAACCUUCGGACAUGCCUUGUUUAGACCAGUGUAGUCUACACACAUCCGCCAUUUCCCCCCUUUCUUUCUCACAAGCACAGGGUUGGCAAGCCAUUCGGGAUGGAAUACCUCUUUGAUGAACCCUGCCGCCAUUAGCUUGUGGAUCUCCUCGCCUAUGGCUCUGCGCUUCUCCUCGUCGAAUCGGCGCAGAGGCUGCUUGACGGGUCGGGCUCUGGCUCGGAUGUCCAGCGAGUGCUCGACGACAUCCCUCGGUAUGCCGGGCAUGUCCGAGGGACUCCACGUGAAGACGUCGGCGUUCGCGCGGAGAAAGUCGACGAGCACUGCUUCCUAUUUGGGAUCGAGCUCGGAGCCGAUCCGGAUCUGCUUGGAGGCGUCGCCGCUGAGGUCGAGGGGGACGGCCUUAACCGUCUCCGCUGGCUCAAAGUUGCCGGUGUGACGCUUCACGUCUGGCACCUCCUUAGAGAGGCUCUCCAGGUCGGCGAUGAGGGCCUCGGACUCGGCGAGGCCCUCGGCGUACUCCACACACUCCACGUCGCAUUCGAACGCGUGUUUGUACGUGGAGCCGACGGUGAUGACCCCGCUGGGGCCCGGCAUCAUGAGCUUCAGGUAGGUGUAGUUGGGGACGGCCAUGAACUUCGCGUAGCAUGGCCUCCCCAGUACCGCGUGGUAGGUUCCUCGGAACCCGACCACCUCGAACGUCAGGGUCUCCCUUCAGAAGUUGGAGGGUGUUCCGAAGCAGACGGGAUGGUCGAGUUGUCCGAGGGGCUGGACGCGCUUCCCGGGAAUGAUCCCAUGGAAGGGCGCAGCGCCUGCCCGGACGGAGGACAGAUCGACACGCAGGAGCCCGAGGGUCUCGGCGUAGAUGAUGUUGAGGCUGCUGCCUCCGUCCAUGAGGACCUUGGUGAGCCUGACGUCGCCGAUGACGGGGUCGACGACGAGCAGGUAUUUCCCCGGGCUCGGCACAUGGUCGGGGUGAUCGGCUCGGUCGAAGGUGAUGGGCUUGUCGGACCAGUCUAGAUAGACUGGCGCCGCCACCUUUACCGAGCAGACCUCCCGGCGCUCUUGCUUGCGGUGCCGAGCCGAGGCAUUCGCCGCUUGCCCACCGUAGAUCAUGAAGCAGUCGCGGACCUCGGGGAACUCUCCUGCCUGGUGAUCUUCCUUCUUGUCGUCGUCGCGGGCCCUGCCACCCUCCGCGGGUGGCCCGGCCCUGUGGAAGUGGCGCCGAAGCAUGACGCACUCCUCAAGGGUGUGCUUGACGGGCCCCUGGUGAUAGGGGCACAACUCCUUGAGCAUCUUGUCGAAGAGGUUGGCACCUCCGGGGGGUUUCCGAGGGUUUUUGUACUCGGCGGCGGCGACAAGGUCCGCGUCGGCGGCGUCGCGUUUCGCUUGCGACUUCUUCUUGCCCUUCUUCUUGGCGCCGCGGUGAGUUGACGCCUCGGGGGCAUCUUCCGAUGGGCGGCCCUGGGGCUGCUUGUCCUUUCGGAAGAUAGCCUCGACCGCCUCCUGGCCGGAGGCGAACUUGGUGGCGAUGUCCAUCAGCUCGCUCGCCCUAGUGGGGGUCUUGCGACCCAGCUUGCUCACCAGGUCGCGGCAGGUGGUGCUAGCGAGGAACGCGCCGAUGACAUCCGAGUCGGUGAUGUUGGGCAGCUCGGUGCGCUGCUUCGAGAAUCGUCGGAUGUAGUCCCGGAGAGACUCUCCCGACUGCUGUCGGCAGCUUUGGAGGUCCCAGGAAUUCCCGGGGCGCACGUACGUGCCCUGGAAAUUGCCGGCGAAAGAUUGGACCAGGUCAUCCCAGUUGGAGAUCUGCCCCGGAGGCAGGUGCUCCAACCAGGCGCGAGCGGUGUCGGAGAGGAACAGGGGGAGGUUGCGGAUGAUGAGGUUGUCAUCGUCCGUUCCACCCAGUUGGCAGGCCAGACGGUAGUCCGCGAGCCACAGUUCCGGUCUUGUCUCCCCCGAGUACUUUGUGAUAGUAGUCGGGGGUCGGAACCGGGUCGGGAACGGCGCCCGUCGUAUAGCCCGGCUGAAGGCCUGCGGACCGGGUGGUUCGGGCGAGGGACUCCGAUCCUCCCCGCUGUCGUAGCGUCCCCCACGCCUGGGGUGGUAGCCUCGGCGCACCCUCUCGUCAAGGUGGGCCCGACGGUCGCGGUGAUGGUGCCCGUUGCCGAGGCGACCCGGGGCUGCAGGCGCUGUGUUGCGCGUGCGCCCGGUGUAGACUGAGGCUUCCCGCAUGAAUCGGGAAGUCGCGGCAUGAGGUUCUGAGGGGUACCCCUGCCUUCGGGAGGCGGAGCUCUCGACCCGUCGGACCGCGGCGCCUUCCAGGAGAUUCUUGAGCUCUCCCUGGAUUCGCCGCCCCUCGGUGGUUGAUGGCUCCGGCAUCGCGCGGAGAAGCAUUGCUGCUGCCGCCAGGUUCUGGCCGACCCCACUAGAUGUGGGUGGCGGCCUGACCCUGACGUCGUCGGUGAUGCGGUGCUGGAAGCCCUAGGGUAGAUGACGUAUUUCUCCGGCCGGAGGUUGGCCCGCCCAUGCCUGCCCGACGUCCCGGCGGAUCGGCUCAAGCGCUCCUGCUCCCUCGUCGAGCCUGGCCUGCGCCCCACGGAUUUGCUCGAGCUGUGGGUCAUGGCCCCCCGCCUGAACGGGGACCACAGCUAGCUCCCGUGGGAUGUCAACGCGAGGCACCGGCCUAGGGAGAUCACCGUCCUCCGGCAUGCCGAGAUGGUUGCCUUCGGAGGGACCCCCUAGAUCGACGUGGAAGCAUUCGCGACUUGGGCCGCAGUCCUCGUCGCUGAGGCUACGGCUUCCGUCGGAACAAUCGGAAAGGCAGUAGUCGCAUGCGGUCAUGAAGUCCCGCAUGGCACUGGGGUUGCCAAGUCUAGAGAAAUCCCAACAGAAGCUGGGCUCGUCGUCUUCCUCGGACCCAGAGGGCCCGUAGGUCGAGACGUCCGUCAGCCGGUCCCAAGGUGACCGCAUACGAAACCCCAGAGGGUUUGGACUCGCCUCGACGAGAGCGCCCGCCAAAGCGAAGCCGCUAGGCGGGUCGAGGCUGAAUCCGAAAGACAUGGGAUUGGAAUCGACCGGUACCUCUUGGUCGACGGGCGGUGAUGAAGUCACGUCAGGGACUGACUACACCAUCGUCUCAGGUAUGAGGGUGACAUCCAGCAAGCCUUUCGCGAGCGCGCUGGCGUCGUCCGUUUGCUCGGAGUUGGCGUGUCGCGGGGAGACGGCGCUCGCCUUCGUCUCAAACGCGAGGUCGAUGCCCGACGCGCCCCCCGUUGGGGCGCUGGGGCCGUCGACUCGCUCGACAGUCGACGAGGCGCUGCCUUCUGCUUGGCCUUGGUUGCCCCGCCUCCUCCUCCGUUGGCGGGGGAGAGGACGGGGCGAGCUCGAAUGUUGUUCUUCCACCACGCGGGGAAGAUGUCGUCGAUUCCGCCGCCGGCGGGCGGGCUGUCGGCCGCCAUUGUCGUUGGCGCGCGGCGGUGGAAGGAGUAUCAUGUCGUAGCUGCCGUCGAGAGACAUGAACUCAAGACUCCCGAAACGGAGCGUCGUCCCGGGUUGGAGAGGUUGCUGGAGACUGCCCAUCUGGAGCUUGACGGGAAGCUGUUCGUCAACACGCAGCAGGCCCCUACCUGGCACGCCAACUGUUGGCGUUUCGAGACCGGGGGGUCCCUAAGCCGACGAGUGAAUGUCGCCGCGUGCCCCAGCCCAGAUGGGUCGACGCGAGGCCGAGCGCGAAGGGGGGAAAGUGAGGCGGUCGGAGACCGGCGUGAGAGAGGUGGGAAUCCCGCGGCCUUCGUGUUCGUCCCGCGUCCAGGUCGGGUGCGCUUGCAGUAGGGGGUUACAAGCGUCCACGCGGGAGAGGGAGCGAGCGGCCUCACGCGAGCGCCUGUCUCGUCCUCGUCCCCGCACGGCCAACCCUCUCUAAGAGGGCCCUGGUCCUUCCUUUUAUAGGCGUAAGGAGAGGAUCCAGGUGUACAAUGGGGGGUGCAGCAGAGUGCUACGUGUCUAGCGGAGGAGAGCUAGCACCCUAAGUACAUGCCGUUGUGGCAGCCGGAGAGAUUUUGGCACCCAGCUGGUGUGAUGUCGUGGCCGUCGGAGGAGCGAUGGAGCCUGGCGGAGGGACAGCUGUCGGAGCUGUUGAGUCCUUGCUGACGUCCUCUUGCUUCCGUAAGGGGGCUGAGAGCCGUCGUCGUCACGGAAUAUGCGGGGCGCCAUCAUUGACUAUCUGGCGAAGCGAGCCAGAUGGGACACCGGUCUUGUCUCCCGUGGCCCGAGUCAGCUCGGGGUAGGGCGAUGAUGGCGCCUCCUGUCGACGUGGCUGGUCUGCGCCCUAGGUUGGGCGAUGUGGAAGCUCCUCCGAAGCCAAGGUCGAGUCUGUCUUCCGUGGCCGAGGUCGAGUCCGAGCCCCUGGGUCGUGCGAGGCGGAGACCGUCGGCUGAGGCCAGGGCGUAGUCCGAGCCCUGGGGUCGGGCGAAGCGGAGUUCGUCGUCUUCUGGGGCUGAGCCCGAGUCCGAGCCCUGGGUCGGGCGGAGCGGAGUUCGUCAUCUUUCGGGACUUAGCCCGAGUCCAAGCCCUGGGUCGGGCGGAGCGGAGUUCGCCGUCUUUCGGGACUUAGCCCGUGUCCGAGCCCUAGGUCGGGCGAAGCGGAGUUCGCCGUCUUCCGGGACUUAGCCCGAGUCCGAGCCCUGGGUCGGGCGGAGCGGAGUUCGCCGUCUUCCGGGACUUAGCCCGAGUCCAAGCCCUGGGUUGGGCGAAGCGGAGCUUCCUAUGGUGCCUUCGGCCGGGCCUGACUGCCUGUCAGCCUCACUCUGUCAAGUGGCACCGCAGUCGGAGCGGCGCAGGCGGCGCUGUCCUUCCGUCAGGCCGGUCAGUGGAGCGGCGAAGUGACGGCGGUCACUUCGGCUCUGCCAGCUGGGGGGCGCGUGUCAGGAUAAAGGUGUCAGGCCACCUUUGCAUUAAAUGCUCCUGUGAUUUGGUCGGUCGGUGCGGCGAUUUGGUCAGGGUUGCUUCUUGGCGAAGACAGGGCCUCGGGCGAGCCGGAAAUAUAUUCGCCGCUGGAGGGGGGCCUCGGGCGAGACGGAAAUCCUCCGGGGUCGGCUGCCCUUGUCCGAGGCUAGGCUCGGGCGAGGCGUGAUCGAGUCCCUCGAACGGACUGAUCCCUGACUUAAUCGCACCCAUCAGGCCUUUGCAGCUUUAUGCUGAUGGGGGUUACCAGCUGAGAAUUAGGAGCCUUGAGGGUACCCCUAAUUAUGGUCCCCGACAAUUUGAGACUCCAGAAGUGCUGGCCCAAUAUUGUUACCACGUUUUCCAACUUCCACGGAGCUUUCACGCAGGCUUCCAUCUCCUAUUCUCUCGGCUCCGUUGGCUCGCACAUCGUCUGCGGGUCGGGAACUGCAACGUUUGCCGCAUCAUCCGGCACGAUUUCUCGUCGACGAUAGAGUCCAACAAGGACGACGGAGGCGGAGUGAGGCACUGAGAGCACCUAGAGGGGGGGUGAAUAGGUGAUCCUGUAAAGCUUAAACUUAUAGCCACAAAAACUUGUUAAGUGUUAGCACAAUAAAUGCCAAGUGGCUAGAAAGGAGUCUCAACAAAACACAAUACCACAAGAGAUCAAUCACAGAGUUGACACAGUGGUUUAUCCCGUGGUUCGGCCAAGACCAACGCUUGCCUACUCCACGUUGUGGCGUCCCAACGGACGAGGGUUGCAAUCAACCCCUCUCAAGUGGUCCAAAGACCCACUUGAAUACCACGGUGUUUUGCUUGCUUUUUCUCUAUCCCGUUUGCGAGGAAUCUCCACAACUUGGAGCCUCUCGCCCUUACAAUUGAAGUUCACAAAGAACACAGAGCAAAGGGGGAAUGAGCAACGCACACAAGACUUCAAAAGAUCAGAGCAACAACGCGCACACAAGUCGCAACAAGAGCUCGCAACACAACUCAAAGAGUUCGCAACUCAACAAGAGCUCUAGAUGCUAUCACAAUGAAACGAAUGCGCGAGAGCGAUGUCUUGGUGCUUAAGAAUGUUGUAGGAAUACUUGGUGUGUUCCUCCAUGCGCCUAGGGGUCCCUUUUAUAGCCCCAAGGCAGCUAGGAGCCGUUGAGAACAAAUCAGGAAGGCCAUCCUUGCCUUCUGUCAUCGGGCGCACCGGACAGUCCGGUGCACACCGGACAGUGUCCGGUGCCCGAUUCCUUUCCUUAAAUGGCGAAGCCGACCGUUGCAGGUCUGGGAGCCGUUGGCGCACCGGACAUGUCCGGUGCACACCGGACAGUCCGGUGCCCCCUUCCGACCGUUGGCUUGGCCACGUGUCGCGCGCAGAAUCCGCGGCCGACCGUUGGCCCUGGCGACCGUUGACUCACCGGACAGUCCGGUGAAUUUUAGCCGUACGCCGUCAGCAAAAUUCCCGAGAGCGGCCUCUUCGGCCGAGGCAGCCUGGCGCACCGGACACUGUCCGGUGCACCACCGGACAGUCCGGUGCCCCAGACCGAAACAGCCCCUUGGCUGUACAUAGCCAACUCUUUUUCUUCCUGUUUCCAAUACUUAGACAAGUAUAUUAGUACACAAAACCAAUGUACUAAGACAUAGAAACAUACCUUUGCUCUUGAUUUGCACUUUGUCCAUCCACAAGCAUGAUUUCACAUUUAAGCACUUGUGUUGGCACUCAAUCACCAAAAUACUUAGAAAUGGCCCAAGGGCACAUUUCCCUUUCAAUCUCCCCCUUUUUGGUGAUUUAUGCCAACACAACAUAAAGCAACUAGAACAAGUGCAAAAUCACUUCAAAUAAAAAUAAAUUUGAGUUUUAUUCAAUUUUGGCAUAUAUGGAUCAUCCUUUGCCACCACUUGGUCUGUUUUUGCAAAUCAAACUCAAAUCUCUAUCUCUAGGUCAAACACACAUGUUGAAGCAUAUAGAGAGUUAUUCCAAAAGAGAUUGGUCACAGAUUUCAAAAACUCCCCCUUUUUCCCAUAAUCAACAUUUCUCCCCACAACAAGCCAACUUUUGAUAAGAGAGACAAUAAAAGAGUUUUGCCAAAACGAAAAGCUCUAUUCUACUAUUUUCAAAAUCUCAAGUGGUAGCUGAUCCAUUUAUCGCUUUGGCCUUUAUUUUCUCCCCCUUUGGCAUCAAGCACCAAAACGGGAUCAAUCUUGGCCCUUUUAACCCCAUUGCCUCACCAAAAUCUUCAAUUAAGAGUACAAAGGCAAUAAGAUCAUAGAGAUGAACUUGGAAUAAGUUACCCUCUCAUCGGAGUGCAGUGGAAGUCUUGCAUGGUCCAAGUCCACCUUUUCCCUUUCAAUUCUCCUUCGAGACUAAAUCAAGCAAACUCAAACAAAUGGUUAGUCUCAAAGGGUCAAGUUGUAGCACAUCUCCCCCUAAAUGUGUGCAUCACUUGCAAAAGGACUUGUGAGGUCCGGGGAGUGCUUGUACAACUUGAGCACCAUCAAUAAGCAACAAAAUGCAUAAGGAACAUGAUCAAUGGCAUAAACACAUGUAUGCUAUAAGUCAAUCCAAGUUCCGCGAAUCUAAGACAUUUAGCUCACUACGCAGCCUGCAAAAGGUCUUCUCAUCUAGAGGCUUGGUAAAGAUAUCGGCUAGCUGGUUCUCGGUGCUAACAUGAAACACUUCGAUAUCUCCCUUUUGCUGGUGGUCUCUCAAAAAGUGAUGCCGGAUGUCUAUGUGCUUUGUGCGGCUGUGUUCAACAGGAUUUUCCGCCAUGCGGAUAGCACUCUCAUUAUCACAUAGGAGUGGGACUUUGCUCAGAUUGUAGCCAAAGUCCCGGAGGGUUUGCCUCAUCCAAAGUAGUUGCGCGCAACACUGUCCUGCGGCAACAUACUCGGCCUCAGCGGUGGAUAGGGCAACGGAAGUUUGUUUCUUAGAAUUCCAUGACACCAGGGACCUUCCUAAGAAUUGGCACGUCCCCGAUGUACUCUUCCUAUCGACCUUACAUCCAGCAUAGUCGGAGUCUGAGUAUCCAACUAAGUCAAAGGUAGACCCCUUUGGAUACCAGAGCCCGAAGCAAGGCGUAGCAACUAAAUAUCUAAGAAUUCGCUUUACCGCCACUAAGUGACACUCCUUAGGAUUGGAUUGAAAUCUAGCACACAUGCAUACGCUAAGCAUAAUAUCCGGUCUACUAGCACAUAAAUAAAGCAAAGAACCUAUCAUGGACCGGUAUGCUUUUUGAUCAACGGACUUACCUCCUUUGUUGAGGUCUGUGUGUCCGUCGGUUCCCAUCGGCGUCUUUGCGGGCUUGGCGUCCUUCAUCCCAAACCUCUUUAGCAAGUCUUGCGUGUACUUCGUUUGGGAGAUGAAAGUGCCGUCCUUGAGUUGCUUCACUUGGAACCCAAGGAAGUAGUUCAACUCGCCCAUCAUCGACAUCUCGAAUUUCUGCGUCAUCACCCUGCUAAACUCUUCACAAGACUUUUGGUUAGUAGAACCAAAUAUUAUGUCAUCGACAUAAAUUUGGCACACAAACAAAUCACCAUUGCAAGUCUUAGUAAAAAGAGUUGGAUCGGCUUUCCCAACCUUGAAAGCAUUAACAAUUAGAAAGUCUCUAAGGCAUUCAUACCAUGCUCUUGGGGCUUGCUUAAGUUCAUAGAGCGCCUUAGAGAGCUUACACACAUGGUCGGGGUACCGUUCAUCCUCGAAGCCAGGGGGUUGCUCCACGUACACCUCCUCCUUGAUUGGCCCGUUGAGGAAAGCGCUCUUCACAUCCAUUUGGUACAACCUGAAAGAAUGGUGAGCGGCAUAUGCUAGCAAGAUACGAAUUGAUUCUAGCCUAGCCACAGGAGCAAAAGUCUCCUCGAAAUCCAAACCUGCGACUUGGGCAUAACCUUUUGCCACAAGUCGAGCCUUGUUUCUCGUCACCACCCCGUGCUCGUCCUGUUUGUUGCGGAACACCCACUUGGUUCCCACAACAUUUUGCUUGGGACGAGGCACCAGUGUCCAAACUGCAUUGCGCUUGAAGUUGUUGAGCUCCUCCUGCAUGGCCAACACCCAGUCCGGAUCUAGCAAGGCCUCCUCUACCCUGAAAGGCUCAAUAGAAGAGACAAAGGAGUAAUGCUCACAAAAAUUAACUAAUCUAGAUCGAGUAGUUACUCCCUUGCUAAUGUCACCCAGAAUUUGGUCGACGGGAUGAUCCCUUUGAAUCAUCGCUCGAACUUGGGUUGAAGGUGCCGGUUGCGCAUCUUCCUCCAUCACAUGAUCAUCUUGUGCUCCCCCUUGAUCACACGCCUCCUGUUGAUGAACCUGUUCAUCGUCUUGAGUUGGGGGUAGCACCAUAGUUGAGGAAGAUGGUUGAUCUCGUUCAUCUUGUUCCUGUGGCCGCACUUCUCCAAUCGCCAUAGUUCGUAUAGCGGCCGUCGGAACAUCUUCUUCAUCUACAUCAUCACAAUCAACAACUUGCUCUCUUGGAGAGCCAUUAGUCUCAUCAAAUACAACGUCGCUAGAGACUUCAACCAAACCCGAUGAUUUGUUGAAGACUCUAUACGCCUUUGUAUUUGAGUCAUAACCUAACAAAAACCCUUCUACUGCUUUGGGAGCAAAUUUAGAAUUUCUACCCUUCUUUACUAGAAUGUAGCACUUGCUCCCAAAUACACGAAAGUACGAUACAUUGGGUUUGUUACCGGUCAGUAGCUCAUACGACGUCUUCUUGAGGAGGCGGUGAAGAUAGACCCUGUUGAUGGCGUGGCAAGCCGUGUUCACGGCUUCCGACCAAAAUCGCUCGGGGGUCUUGAACUCUCCAAGCAUAGUCCUCGCCAUAUCAAUUAGCGUCCUGUUCUUCCUCUCUACCACACCAUUUUGCUGUGGUGUGUAGGGAGCGGAGAACUCAUGCUUGAUCCCUUCCUCCUCAAGGAACUCCUCCACUUGAAAGUUCUUGAACUCGGACCCGUUGUCGCUCCUUAUCUUCUUCACCUUGAGCUCAAACUCAUUUUGAGCUCUCCUGAGGAAGCGCUUGAGGGUCCCUUGGGUUUCAGACUUAUCCUGCAAAAAGAACACCCAAGUGAAGCGGGAAAAGUCAUCAACAAUAACUAGACCAUACUUACUCCCUCCUAUGCUCAGAUAGGCGACAGGUCCGAAGAGGUCCAUAUGCAGCAGCUCCAGGGGUCUUGAAGUGGUCAUCACAUUCUUGCUGUGAUGUGCUCCUCCCACUUGUUUACCUGCUUGACAAGCUGCACAAGGUCUAUCUUUUUCGAAUUGCACGUUAGUCAAACCUAUCACGUGUUCUCCCUUUAGAAGCUUGUGAAGGUUCUUCAUCCCCACAUGUGCUAAGCGGCGAUGCCACAGCCAGCCCAUGCUAGUCUUAGCUAUUAAGCAUGCAUCUAGACCGACCUCCUCUUUUGCAAAAUCAACUAAAUAAAGUUUGCCGUCUAAUACACCCUUAAAAGCUAGUGAAUCAUCACUUCUUCUAAAGACAGACACAUCUACAUUUGUAAAUAGACAGUUAUACCCCAUGUUGAAUAAUUGACUAACAGAUAGCAAAUUAUAUCCCAAGGACUCAACUAAAAACACAUUAGAAAUUGAGUGCUCAUUUGAGAUUGCAAUUUUACCUAAUCCUUUUACCUUGCCUUGAUUCCCAUCACCGAAUAUAAUUGAAUCUUGGGAAUCAUUAUUCUUGACGUAGGAGGUGAACAUCUUCUUCUCCCCCGUCAUAUGGUUUGUGCAUCCGCUAUCAAUAAUCCAGCUUGAACCCCCGGAUGCACAAACCUGCAAGGCAAAUUUAGGCUUGGGACUUAGGUACCCAACUCUUGUUGGGUCCUACAAGGUUAGUGCAAAUAUCCUUAGGGACCCAAAUGCAAGUUUUAUCACCCUUGCAUUUUGCCCCUAACUUUCUAGCAAUUACCAUUCUAUCCUUUCUAUAAAUUGCAAAGGAAGCAUUCAAAGCAUGAUAUAUUGUAGAAGGCUCAUUAACUUUCCUAGGAAUAUUAACAACAUUCCUUCUACCAACAUUUCUAUCAUGCACAACAUGAGAACUAGAAGCAGUCAUAGCAUAAGAAUCAUAAGCAUGUGAAUCAUAAGCAUCAUAACUUCUAAAAGCAUUUCUAGAAUUUUUUCUAUCAUGAUACAAAAAGGCAUGGUUCUUUUUAACACUAGUAGCCAUAGGGGCCUUCCCUUUCUCCUUAGCGGGAAUGGGAGUCUUAUGGCUUGUUAAGUUCUUGGCUUCCCUCUUGAAGCCAAGUCCAUCCUUAAUUGAGGGGUGUCUACCGAUCGUGUAGGCAUCCCUUGCAAAUUUUAGUUUAUCAAAUUCAUUCUUGCUAGUCUUAAGUUGGGCAUUAAGAUUAGCCAAUUCCUCAGUUAGUUUGGAAAUUGAAACUAAAUGAUCACUACAGGCAUCAACAUCGAAAUCUUUACACCUAGUGCAAAUCUCAACAUGUUCUACACAAGAUGUUGAUUUACUAGAUUUUUCUAGUUUAGCAUUUAAAUCAUCAUUUUUGCUCUUUAAACUAGCAAUUGAAUCAUGACAUGUAGACAACUCACAAGAAAGCAUUUCAUUUCUCUUAAUCUCUAAUGCAAGUGAUUUUUGUGCUUCUACAAAUUUGUCAUGUUCCUCAUACAACAAAUCCUCUUGCUUUUCUAAAAGCACAUUCUUAUCAUUCAAGGCAUCAAUCAAUUCAUUAAUUUUGUCUAUCUUAGAUCUAUCUAAACCCUUGAAUAAGCAUGAAUAGUCUAUGUCAUCAUCAUCACUAGACUCAUUAUCACUAGAAGGAGCAUAAGUGGAGUCUCGAGUACUCACCUUCUUCUCCCUUGCCAUAAGGCAUGUGUGACGCUCGUUGGGGAAGAGGGAUGACUUGUUGAAGGCGGUGGCGGCGAGUCCUUCAUUGUCGGAGUCGGAGGAGCAAUCCGAAUCCCACUCCUUUCCGAUGUGUGCCUCGCCCUUGGCCUUCUUGUAAUUCUUCUUCUUUUCCCUCUUGUUUCCCUGUUCCUGGUCACUAUCGUUAUCGGGGCAGUUAGCGAUAAAAUGACCAAUCUUACCGCACUUGAAGCAUGAGCGCUUUCCCUUUGUCUUGGUCUUGCUUGGCUGCCCCUUGUGACCUUUUAGCACCGUCUUGAAGCGUUUGAUGAUGAGAGCCAUCUCUUCAUCAUUAAGUCCGGCCGCCUCAAUUUGUGCCACCUUGCUACUUGUUGCCUUGAGAGCAAGGGGUUGAUGCUCGUUGAUCGGUCCAUUCAAGGCGUCGUCCACGUAUCUUGCCUCCUUGAUCAUCAUCCGCCCGCUUACGAAUUUUCCGAGUACCUCCUCGGGCGUCAUCUUCGUGUACCUGGGAUUCUCACGAAUAUUGUUCACGAGAUGAGGAUCAAGAACGGUAAAUGACCUUAGCAUUAGGCGGACGACGUCGUGAUCCGUCCAUCGCGUGCUUCCAUAACUCCUUAUUUUGUUGAUAAGGGUCUUGAGCCGGUUGUAUGUUUGGGUUGGCUCCUCGCCCCUUAUCAUUGCAAACCUUCCAAGCUCGCCCUCCACCAACUCCAUUUUAGUGAGCAUGGUGAUGUCGUUCCCCUCGUGAGAAAUCUUGAGGGUGUCCCAUAUCUGCUUGGCAUUGUCCAAGCCGCUCACCUUAUUGUACUCGUCCCUGCACAAAGAGGCUAGCAACACAGUAGUAGCUUGUGCAUUUUUAUGAAUUUGUUCAUUAAUAAACAUAGGGCUAUCCGAGCUAUCAAAUUUCAUUCCAUUCUCUACAAUCUCCCAUAUGCUUGGAUGGAGAGAGAAUAAAUGACUACGCAUUUUGUGACUCCAAAAUCCGUAGUCCUCCCCAUCAAAGUGUGGAGGUUUGCCAAGAGGAAUGGAAAGCAAAUGCGAAUUCGAACUAUGUGGAAUACGAGAAUAAUCAAAUGAAAAGUUCGAAUUGACCGUCUUCCUGUAGUCGUUGUCGUCGUCCUUUUGGGAAGAAGAGGAUUCGUCGCUGUCGUAGUAGACGAUCUCCUUGAUGCGCCUUGUCUUCUUCUUCUUCCCAUCUUUACGUCUGUGGCCCGAGCCAGAGUCGUUGGAUUUGUCAUCUUUUGGCUCGUUGACGAAGGACUCCUUUUCCUUGUCGUUGAUCACGAUUCCCUUCCCCUUAGGAUCCAUCUCUUCGGGCGGUUAGUCCCUUUCUUGAAGAGAACUGCUCUGAUACCAAUUGAGAGCACCUAGAGGGGGGGUGAAUAGGUGAUCCUGUAAAGCUUAAACUUAUAGCCACAAAAACUUGUUAAGUGUUAGCACAAUAAAUGCCAAGUGGCUAGAAAGGAGUCUCAACAAAACACAAUACCACAAGAGAUCAAUCACAGAGUUGACACAGUGGUUUAUCCCGUGGUUCGGCCAAGACCAACGCUUGCCUACUCCACGUUGUGGCGUCCCAACGGACGAGGGUUGCAAUCAACCCCUCUCAAGUGGUCCAAAGACCCACUUGAAUACCACGGUGUUUUGCUUGCUUUUUCUCUAUCCCGUUUGCGAGGAAUCUCCACAACUUGGAGCCUCUCGCCCUUACAAUUGAAGUUCACAAAGAACACAGAGCAAAGGGGGAAUGAGCAACGCACACAAGACUUCAAAAGAUCAGAGCAACAACGCGCACACAAGUCGCAACAAGAGCUCGCAACACAACUCAAAGAGUUCGCAACUCAACAAGAGCUCUAGAUGCUAUCACAAUGAAACGAAUGCGCGAGAGCGAUGUCUUGGUGCUUAAGAAUGUUGUAGGAAUACUUGGUGUGUUCCUCCAUGCGCCUAGGGGUCCCUUUUAUAGCCCCAAGGCAGCUAGGAGCCGUUGAGAACAAAUCAGGAAGGCCAUCCUUGCCUUCUGUCAUCGGGCGCACCGGACAGUCCGGUGCACACCGGACAGUGUCCGGUGCCCGAUUCCUUUCCUUAAAUGGCGAAGCCGACCGUUGCAGGUCUGGGAGCCGUUGGCGCACCGGACAUGUCUGGUGCACACCGGACAGUCCGGUGCCCCCUUCCGACCGUUGGCUUGGCCACGUGUCGCGCGCAGAAUCCGCGGCCGACCGUUGGCCCUGGCGACCGUUGACUCACCGGACAGUCCGGUGCACACCGGACAGUCCGGUGAAUUUUAGCCGUACGCCGUCAGCAAAAUUCCCGAGAGCGGCCUCUUCGGCCGAGGCAGCCUGGCGCACCGGACACUGUCCGGUGCACCACCGGACAGUCCGGUGCCCCAGACCGAAACAGCCCCUUGGCUGUACAUAGCCAACUCUUUUUCUUCCUGUUUCCAAUACUUAGACAAGUAUAUUAGUACACAAAACCAAUGUACUAAGACAUAGAAACAUACCUUUGCUCUUGAUUUGCACUUUGUCCAUCCACAAGCAUGAUUUCACAUUUAAGCACUUGUGUUGGCACUCAAUCACCAAAAUACUUAGAAAUGGCCCAAGGGCACAUUUCCCUUUCGGGCACACGCGCUGAUAGUGUGUAGGGCCAUCACGGGGAGGAUCCACCGCCCGCUGGAUAACCUGUGAGCAGGGGCGGAGCCAGAAAGAAGAUAUAGGAGAGGCCAACAAGACCAUAGUAUAUAGUAGUGUAAGAAAUAAUAAUAAUUAUAAGUAUCAAAUCAAUCCUAUGUAUAUAGUAAGUAAAAUUUUAGUAAUUUUACAUUCACAUAAUUUAAAUUCAGCAAAACAAAUUGUUAAAAGAACUCACAUGUUUUACUUGAGUGCUACUCUGCGUGUUUGAAUUGCAUCGAAGUCAUCAAUAAGUUUAUCUGUUGCAAACUGAAUUGCUAUCUCCUUCUCGAUGUAAGUUAUUAAGCAAUUUCUUAAGAACUCAUCUUCCAUCCUACUUUGAAGCCUUGUCUUAACAAGUUUCAUCGCAGAAAAGGCACGCUCCGUCGUUGCUGUUGAAACUGGUAGAGUUAGAACAAGCCAAAUCAACCUGUUGAUGAAAUGUAUGAGUUUUUCUGUACCGAUAGAAAAAUAAUUAACUAAAUUAAAUAUAAAAUGGUAUAUAACCUGUCGAUCAAAUAACAUUCAUCUGAUUUCCUAGUUUCUGCUAGCCGGCGACAAAGAUUAGCAACAGUUGUCAAAUUCUGAAACUUCGAAUUUGUAGGUACAUCAAAUUCAUAAUGUUGCAACUGAAGCCUUAAGGUACUUCUUUCUUGCUCAGAAAAAUCAGUAGGGUAAAACUUUGAAGCAAGAGAGCACACAUCAUUAAUUUUCAAUGAGUUGAAUGAAUUCUUAGGAUCUAAAGAAGCACAUAAUAUCAGAAGUUCUGUAACUUGUUCACUAAACCUGUGGUUUAGUUCUUGAGCUUGUUGAUCAACUGCACUAGUGAAAAUAUCAUAUCUAUAGUGAUGUUCAAUUGUGAUCUCAUUCCCUGCACGAGAUCGAAUGUAGUCCACAUAUAAUUCAGUCAUGUUUGGAACAAUGAUUUCGUGCUUAUUGCAAAAUACUGUCACAUCAUUAAUAAGUCUAUCCCAACCAUGGUCUCUCAUGUUCUGAAUCAACCUUUUGGUAGUGGCAACAUCAUCCAUAGCAUUCACAAUGUCCUGAGAUUUAUGUUGUAGCUUUUUGCAGAGUAAAUCUAUAAGCCCCAUUAAUUCCUUCAUAACAUGCAUAAUAAAUAUAAAGUCAAAUGACAUCAUCAGCUUAAUAGCACCAGCAGCCUUCGCACGUCCAGCAGCUGUGGUUCCUGAACCUUUUGCAAUAGCAAUAUCUUUCAGCACUAAGAAUGUCGGCUUGUAAAGCUUUAUAAGGCUACAAAUGGAAUUAUAAUGAGAACUCCACCUAGUUUCACCAGGACGUUGCAGAGUUCCAAUUUGAUUAAUACCUCUUCCUGUUUCAAUCUCGUUAAGCUCAAUGAGGUGCUCUAUUUCAGCAACUUGAUUAGCACGUAGAUCAUCAUUUCUCUUAGUAGAAGACACAACCGUGUUGACGAUAAGAGCAAGAUGUUCAAAAAAAUUAUGAACUUAUGUUACCUCUUUAGAUGCAGCUACAAGAGCUAGCUGUAAUUGAUGAACAAAGCAGUGAACAUAAUAUGCAUAAGGGCACUCUUCUACAAACUUUGCUUGUAAUCCAUUCCACUCUCACAACAUAUUACUAGCACCAUCAUAUCCUUGUCCACGAAUAUUUUGAACAUCUAAUUUAUGAUGUGAUAAAACAAAGUCCAAUUCCUUCUUAAGAGUGGCAGAUGAUGUAUCAUGAACAUGAAUAAGAUCAAGAAAACGCUCUCGAAUGAAACCCCCUUUGUCAACAAACCGAACAACAAGUGCCAUUUGUUCUCUUCUUGACUUGUCUCUUGAUUCAUCAACAAUCAAGCAAAAUUUGGCAUCACCAAUUUCAUCACGAAUAGUUGUUUGCACAUUAAAAGCUAUAAGGUCCAAUAUCUGCUUCUGAAUUUGAUGUGACGUGUAUUUAGCAUUCUGUGGAGCAUUACUCAAUACAACAGCUUUGACCUCCUCAUCAUAUGAUGCAAUUAGCUUUACCAUCUCAAGAAAAUUACUUUGGUUCUUUGAAUUAGCAGACUCAUCAUGUCCACGAAAGGGACAAGCUUGAAAUACUAACCAACGGACUGCAUCAAUUGAUGUUCUAAGCCGCAAUCUAUUUGCCUUGACUUCAUCACUUGUUUGCUUCUCAAGAAUCGGUUCAAUAUGGUAUAACCGAUUCUUCAAAUUAUCAUAGCAUUUAACAGAAUACCGAUGAGCUGACCCACUCUCUCCUACAUGAAUUUUGAAGGCACAAUUAUCCCCACUUUUAACCUUCUUCCAAUUUUUAAAUCCUUUGACAGUAAACACAUCAGAUCCUGCUUUUCCUACUGGCUUCUUAGAUAAAAAGCAAGGAAAGCAAAAGGUUGCAUCUUUUGUUGGCGAGUAUUCUAACCAAGAAAAAGUUUCAAACCACUGUGACUGAAACCUCCGUGGAUGAUUCUUUGGACCUGAAGGUGGGUAUACAUCUCUAAAAAAUUGGUAUGGGCCAUGUUUCAUGUAUGCUCUAAUAACUUGUUCUUGCUUAUCAGGGGUGUAAGAAAAAAUCUGGCAACGUAAGCCUGGGUCUCUUUCUACAACCAACACACCAGUAUCUUCAAAAUUUACUCGACGAACCUUAGGAGAUGGUUGUUCUGGAGCUUCCUCUUAUUGUGCAGCAAGCCAAUUAGCAAUUUCAUAUUACUCAGAAUCAGAACUAUUUUGUUCUUGUUCUCUUGGGACAUCGACAACAAUAUCUUUAUUAUAAAAAAUAUCAAUUGUUGUUCUUUUGAAUACCAUGAUUGUCCUUUAAGAUAAAAACAUAAUAUGACAAAUUAGCAUCUACCGAUACAUACAUUACUCAACCAAUAUCGAGUAAAUUAAAAUAUUAAAUAAAUAAAGUAUUGCACAGUGCACAACAAAAACAGUAGUCAAAUGAUUGAAACCUUUAGAGUAGAUUGUGCUGAAGAGGAGGCCUGAACAGUAGACAAAUUAAAUAAAUUAGCUAUCUAGGCAUCUACCGAUACAUGACGGUGGGGUUGAGGAGAUCGGCGAGUACUAGCGGGCAGCGGUCAGCGGAUGAUGGAGAGCGCCAGCGCAGCGCUGGCCGCCACGCACAGGCGCACAGCCCCGAUGCUACGGCCUACGGUUGCCUGCUUGACUGCUUCACUGCUUGGCGGCGAGUCAGCAAGACCGCAAGAGGAGAAAGCAGCGAGCGUCGAGUAGGUCUGCAGGUGGAUUCGUGGUGCACAAUGCACUGAUGCCUAUAGGCUGCGGCGACUAAAAUAAAUUAGGUCAGCACAGAAUUAGGAAUAAACAACGGUGUGAACCUGGGCUGUGAGCCUGUGAUCACGUGGCCCAUAUAAUAACAUGUUGCCGUUGGCAGGGGCAUGGCCCCCGCUGCCCCCCCCCCACCCCCCUCCCUCUGCCCCUGCCUGUGAGACGUCGCGGGGCAGUCGGGGUUCGACUCGGUUGUCGGCCCUAUGGGCGCCGACUCUAGCAUCGAGGAGCUCUACCUGAUCAACCCGAGGGCUCUCCUCCCUUGCUUUGUGGUCAUAUGCAAAGCUUAGAUCAUAUUCUUGCGCCUGGGUGCAUGUCAUCGCCAUCGUAGAGAAGCAGCAUCGCAUACGAUUUAUAUUAGCACUAUCCUAUACUUUAAUUCCAUCAUCGUGUAAAGUUAUAGUUUAGUUCAUUAGUUGAUGGAGAACACUAGGCACCAUGCAUGUUCUCCUUCCAGGUUUAGUUCAUUAGUUCAUCGAUCGAUCUAGUGUACAUUCUUGUUUGUAUCUUCCAGCAUCAGCAGUGACUCACCAGCAGAUUUCUGAAGAGCUAUUUACUCUCUAAAUAGAGCCUGAGAGCUUGUUCGCACUGGUAGAAAAGGGCUUAAAGCCUACGGUGCGGUAUAUUUUAUAGGCGGAUUCGGUUAUCAACCGCCUGUGCUAUUUUUAGUGGCGAUUUUUUAAGAAAACCGCCACUAGAAAUCGUAUUUCUAGAGACGGUUCCAUAUAAAAACCGUUUGUAGAAAUCCAUGAUUUCUACUGGUGGUUUUCUUAAGAAACCGCCUGUAGAAAUCGAUUUCUAGUUACGGUUUUCUUAAGGAACCGCCACUAGAAAUCAUUUUUAUCCUUAAUUUUUCGAGUUUUUCAAACGACCUCGUAUGACGAAACCAUCAAAAUAAAAGUUAUAGAUCUCUAAAAGUUAUAAAACUUUGUAGUUGACAACUUUUUUAUUUGAAAUCAUUUCGGCUCUCAAAAAUUGUAUCUAAAUUUAUCAAAUUUAAAAUUCAAAUUUUGCAAACGACCUCGGAUGAAAAAAGUGUCAAAAUAAAAGUUUUAGAACUUCAAAAAUUAUUCAACUUUGUAGUUGACAACUGUUUUAUUUGAAUUCGUUUAUGGUCUCAAACAAGAAAUUUACACUCAGUUGGUUGUAAUAUGUUGGCAACAAAACUACAAACUAGACACAAAGGAUUUCAUAGCCGGAGUGAUAGAGGAUGAUAUGCGUGAGGGUGAGGUCAGGGGUUCGAUUCCUAGCAACCACGUAGUGCACAAAAAAUUCCUCGACCUGCGACUUCGAUGGAGACGGACCGUUGGGGUGGGUGGGUCGCGAGGCCUCCCCAAUAAAUUUUUUUUGCUAUUUUUAAAAUCUGUUUUAUGUUUCCUGGAAUCGAUUUUCAUUGACGGUUUUAUUACGUCGACCGUCAGUGAAAAUCGAUUUCCACUGGCGGUUCUUAGUUACCCGCCUGUAAAAAUGAUGAUUUCUACUGGCCCCUAGCACUGGCGGCUAUGAAAAACGCCACUGUAAAUAGGUUUACAACCGCCACUAUAGAGCUUAUCUGUACUAGUGUCGGUUCUACCCCAAUCCAUAUGGAUUGAGGGUAAUUGAGGGAGUUUUAAUCUCUAGUAAGUUAAAAUCUCUAUCAAUCCGUAUCAAUCGCCUCCAAUCUAUAUGGAUUGAAAAUAACCGAACAAGCCCUGAAGGGGAGGACACAGGGCGUCAGUGCCUAGACGGGGAUGACACAAAAUGGUAGUUGUGAUUUUAAGGCCCAAAUGUUGGAAACAAAACAUGUGUUUAGAUCUUAAACAAAUUAAGUGAGUUGCUAAAUCAAAAUAUAGAGCCAAUUAUGAGACUCAUGGUUGGAGUUGCUCUAAACCUUGUGAUUAAAUCUUGUAAUUUAGAAUAUACUCAGUUUGGAACAGGGAAAAGUACAUGCAUGCAUGCAUAUAUAUAUAUAUAGCUAGAAUUAUUGAGACGACACGUCUCAUCUCCUGCGCGGGCGGUACUGCAUGUGGUGGCACAAGACGACGGGCCCUGGCGGUGUAUAGCUAGCUAGAAUUAUAGGAGGUCAUCCUCCUUGUGCGUCUCGAUGACGACGUCGGAGGUGGGGUACGCAGCGCAGGUGAGCACCCAACCGUCGGCGACCUGGUUGUCGUUGAGGAAGCUCUGGUCGGACUGGUCGACGGAGCCAGAGACGACCUUGCCGGCGCAGGAGGAGCAGGACCCCGCACGGCAGGAGAAGGGCAGGUCGAUGCCUUCCUCCUCGGCGAAGUCCAGGAUGUAGACGUCGUCGGGCACCUGCAGCUCCACCUCCCCCUCCGGCGUGAUCAGCUUCACGUUGUAGGUGGCCUGCGCGCGCAGCAGCUGGCGCCGCAUGGGGGCCGCCAGCGGCUUGGCAACCGCGACCCUGAGCCUGAGUGGGGACGAGAAGCAGGGCGGCGGCGCGCGGAGGAUGCUCAUGCUCAGGGCGGUGGCGGCCAUUGGAUGGCGAUGGAGGAUGGACUCACUCGACUGGCCGGCCGGGCGCUAGCUGCUGCGACUACACACUACACGACACGGGCGGCCACACGGCUCGCUAGCUAGCUGACAAGGGAGAGUUAUUGGCGGAGGGAAGGGUGGGUGGGGGUGCUACGUGGCGGGCGGUGAGCGGUCGGCUUAUCUGCAGUGCAAUGCAACCCCCAUCGAGGAUCACACGUUGCUCAUCGUCGCUACCAGCCAUCCGCCUGCCCCUCUUGGUUGGAUUUGGAUAGGCGUGUGGAGGCCAUACAUCCAUCGUAUGAUAUAUAUCGUCUAGCUACUCGAUCACUUAGCUGUCAGAUCUAUAUAUGGUAACACUAUAGUACAAAUUAACGCA
rnacentral:lncRNA from 1 species